AACACCGCCGCUUCCUUACUCCUCUCUCUCUCUCUCUCUCUCUGGCGAUUCACCAGAUCUAUGAAGUUCGAUGAAGAUUCUGAUCUCCUGGUUUUGAGAACAACCCGUAGGCGCUCCAAAUCAAGGUAUAAAUCUUGAAUCUAAGUUGACGAUAGACGUUGAAUAUGCCACCAGAAGCAUCCGUGUUGAGUAGAAGAUUAUCAAGGCUCAGAUUUUGGAAAUUGUGGGUCAAAAGAGGGUUUAGGAAAGUGAUGAUGAAGUUAAAUUCGGCGAUGAUGAAAAUAUCACACGUAACUGGAGUGUGUUGAAAACUACUCCUGAGCUUCGCAAAUCAAAGGGUCACCAUUGGAGUCUGGACCCACAACACCCCUGCCAGAUAGAAAGAUAUUGUUGUUCAUUCUUGAUAGGCUUCAAAAGAAGGAUACUCAUGUCGUUUUCUCUAAACCUGUUGAUCCGAAUGAGUGGGAUUGAAGUGAAGAAGCCUCAACAACAUAUUAUAAAGCUAACAAAAUGUUCAUGAGUCCGUUAACUGUGGACACAGAAGAUUCUUUUUCGAGUUUACUUGAAUACGCCGCUAAUUAUCACCCAUGUCUCCCAGGUUCAGUCAACAGAUGUCACUAUCAGGAAACAGUGGUUAACACUCUUCAGUUACGUGGCCCUAGCCGAAUGUCCCGACACUUCAUCUUCCAGGAAGUAAUCUACAAUCGAGUCGGCUUAGAUCUUCUCUUAGCGCCAGGGAUAUCCCAUUAGAGGAUUUGAGCUUGUUGCAGGAUUAUAAAUCUCAACAACUGCUACACGACUUUACCUGUUAUUCACAAACUCGACCUGGUUCACUCUCGUUGAACCGUUCAGCUCGGUCUAAAACACUUGCUCCUGCAAAUCUUGAAGAUCUGUUUGUAGCGGAGCUUGCUUCUUCUCCAAGAUAUUCCGAUCCGGCAGCAUCUCCUGGCGUCUUUUCACCAUCGCACAAAUCAACGGUUCUCAACUAGUUCCAACAGCAGCAAAGCAUGCUUUCUCCUAUCAAUACCAACGUGUUUUCACCGAAAAACGUUGACCAUAUGUUGCAAGCUUCUUUUGGCGUUUCAUCACCGGGGAGAAUGUCGCCGCGAAGCAUGGAUCCGAUAUCUCCAACGGGUGCUCGGCUUUCCGCUUUUGCACAACGUGAAAAACAUCAAUAGCUACGCAGUCUCAGUUCUAGGGAUCUUGGAGCAAAUCUUGGUACAAACAGUCCUUUUAGUGUCGGAUCACAUGUGAAUAACACUUCGUCUUCUUAGUCAAAAUGGGGAUCUCCAACUGGGAAGGCUGACUGGUCGGUCAACGGAGACGGAACCUGGUCAAGUACAAUUAUAUCAUUAUAUAUCAUACGGCGGACUAUGUGGUGGGAUCAUUGAGCUUGAUGAAAACGUUGCAAAUAUUUGGACGGAGUUUGGUACGAAUGGAAAAGAUCAAAUAAAGGUUAAUCAUGUACAUCAUUCAGCUGGUUUACACAAUGCUCCGCCACUGAAGAAGGCCGUAACUGACCCUCACGUUCUACUACACUGCCACCAUCGUCGACUCAGCAAAAUCGGAAACUACAUCCCCGUACAUAGCCCUAAACUUACCAACCUAAGUCAUAUGUUUCCCGCCGCAUCGCGCAGCACAAAUAUUUUUGAAACCUCACGUAGAAUGACAACACGAGCAUAUUUGAUAAACACUUUGGAGGAUGGGCAAUGGAUUUCACAAAACGUGAUAGACUGUUGGGCGGCUAUUUUGAAUUAUGAUGAGAAAAAAAAAACAAUACAGUAGGGAAAAGGCGAUUAUGGUGUUAUACGACAACUAACCCGGAGUUUAUGUUGAAAACAAAACAGACAGAAAAAAAAGCGUUUACAACAUUAACUUCACACUUGAAGGAGGUUGUGGAGUGUGACAUUAAAAUGCUGGAGUUAAAAAAUUUAACAUCAUAAUAAUACCAAUGAUCGAAAGAAAGCAUUUUUAUCUAAUAUUCUUUGAUUUAGAGAACGCGAAGGUCGAAGUUAUUGAUAAUAUUGUGAGUAACAGCGGGUUUUACAGAAUGUCAGAAGGAACGAAAUUUAAAGAAACUGGAACGCCAUGUAAAGUGAAAAAUUACAUGGUUGGGUAUUUGAAGGUUGUUGCACGCAUGGCAGCCGCAACGUUGACAAAGAAAAAAUUGGAAUGGGAAACGAGUGAUAAUUUCAACGAUUGUGGUGUGUUUGCUAUGAGGCACAUGGAGAUGUACAAAGGGAGUGAUGUCGAGUUUGAAUGCGGUUUUAGUACGCGAAAAAUAUUCAAGACAUGCAAUUGCAAAACUUGAGGAUGAAGAUUGCAACAAAACUGAUAUUAUCAGAGGCAAACGUGUACGAGAGAACGGUUAUGUACCUCGCAAGCAAACGUGUACAAGAGAACGAUUAUGUACCUCGCAAGAAACGCAACACAAAGUUUGAGAGAUGAAAGAAUGCGAAAAAUGUUGGAAAAAGAGGGGGCGAAACAAGAAAAAUGUUGGAACAUUCUUAGCAAAUGGAAGAAUGGGGAUAAAGUUUGAGGGUAUUAGUUAAUAAUUCAGUUUAUUAACUGUCAGGACACGUAGUAUUUCUACACGUAGUAUUUCUGGUUAAUUGGUGAUCUAUGAACAUUAAACUGGUACUUUGGUUUGUUUUGUUUGGUUUGGUUUGGCAUGUUAGAUGGUUGUGUUGUGAAGGUAACAAGUUGGUACCGUUAUGAUGUCGGUUAUAGUUUUGGUUAAUUGUGAUUGGAACUAGCUUAUUGUGUUACUAAUACUUGUUGGUUGACAACAGUUGUUAUAACAGUUGGUAUUUUAGCAAUUGGUAUGUUGGAUGUGUGAUAUGGUAAUCAAUGUUU
rnacentral:lncRNA from 1 species